rnacentral:rRNA from 1 species
AAUGGGGAAACCCAGUGUGUUUCGACACACUAUCAUUAACUGAAUCCAUAGGUUAAUGAGGCGAACCGGGGGAACUGAAACAUCUAAGUACCCCGAGGAAAAGAAAUCAACCGAGAUUCCCCCAGUAGCGGCGAGCGAACGGGGAGCAGCCCAGAGCCUGAAUCAGUGUGUGUGUUAGUGGAAGCGUCUGGAAAGGCGCGCGAUACAGGGUGACAGCCCCGUACACAAAAAUACACAUAUUGUGAGCUCGAUGAGUAGGGCGGGACACGUGGUAUCCUGUCUGAAUAUGGGGGGACCAUCCUCCAAGGCUAAAUACUCCUGACUGACCGAUAGUGAACCAGUACCGUGAGGGAAAGGCGAAAAGAACCCCGGCGAGGGGAGUGAAAAAGAACCUGAAACCGUGUACGUACAAGCAGUGGGAGCACGCUUAGGCGUGUGACUGCGUACCUUUUGUAUAAUGGGUCAGCGACUUAUAUUCUGUAGCAAGGUUAACCGAAUAGGGGAGCCGAAGGGAAACCGAGUCUUAACUGGGCGUUAAGUUGCAGGGUAUAGACCCGAAACCCGGUGAUCUAGCCAUGGGCAGGUUGAAGGUUGGGUAACACUAACUGGAGGACCGAACCGACUAAUGUUGAAAAAUUAGCGGAUGACUUGUGGCUGGGGGUGAAAGGCCAAUCAAACCGGGAGAUAGCUGGUUCUCCCCGAAAGCUAUUUAGGUAGCGCCUCGUGAAUUCAUCUCCGGGGGUAGAGCACUGUUUCGGCAAGGGGGUCAUCCCGACUUACCAACCCGAUGCAAACUGCGAAUACCGGAGAAUGUUAUCACGGGAGACACACGGCGGGUGCUAACGUCCGUCGUGAAGAGGGAAACAACCCAGACCGCCAGCUAAGGUCCCAAAGUCAUGGUUAAGUGGGAAACGAUGUGGGAAGGCCCAGACAGCCAGGAUGUUGGCUUAGAAGCAGCCAUCAUUUAAAGAAAGCGUAAUAGCUCACUGGUCGAGUCGGCCUGCGCGGAAGAUGUAACGGGGCUAAACCAUGCACCGAAGCUGCGGCAGCGACGCUUAUGCGUUGUUGGGUAGGGGAGCGUUCUGUAAGCCUGUGAAGGUGUGCUGUGAGGCAUGCUGGAGGUAUCAGAAGUGCGAAUGCUGACAUAAGUAACGAUAAAGCGGGUGAAAAGCCCGCUCGCCGGAAGACCAAGGGUUCCUGUCCAACGUUAAUCGGGGCAGGGUGAGUCGACCCCUAAGGCGAGGCCGAAAGGCGUAGUCGAUGGGAAACAGGUUAAUAUUCCUGUACUUGGUGUUACUGCGAAGGGGGGACGGAGAAGGCUAUGUUGGCCGGGCGACGGUUGUCCCGGUUUAAGCGUGUAGGCUGGUUUUCCAGGCAAAUCCGGAAAAUCAAGGCUGAGGCGUGAUGACGAGGCACUACGGUGCUGAAGCAACAAAUGCCCUGCUUCCAGGAAAAGCCUCUAAGCAUCAGGUAACAUCAAAUCGUACCCCAAACCGACACAGGUGGUCAGGUAGAGAAUACCAAGGCGCUUGAGAGAACUCGGGUGAAGGAACUAGGCAAAAUGGUGCCGUAACUUCGGGAGAAGGCACGCUGAUAUGUAGGUGAAGUCCCUUGCGGAUGGAGCUGAAAUCAGUCGAAGAUACCAGCUGGCUGCAACUGUUUAUUAAAAACACAGCACUGUGCAAACACGAAAGUGGACGUAUACGGUGUGACGCCUGCCCGGUGCCGGAAGGUUAAUUGAUGGGGUCAGCGCAAGCGAAGCUCUUGAUCGAAGCCCCGGUAAACGGCGGCCGUAACUAUAACGGUCCUAAGGUAGCGAAAUUCCUUGUCGGGUAAGUUCCGACCUGCACGAAUGGCGUAAUGAUGGCCAGGCUGUCUCCACCCGAGACUCAGUGAAAUUGAACUCGCUGUGAAGAUGCAGUGUACCCGCGGCAAGACGGAAAGACCCCGUGAACCUUUACUAUAGCUUGACACUGAACAUUGAGCCUUGAUGUGUAGGAUAGGUGGGAGGCUUUGAAGUGUGGACGCCAGUCUGCAUGGAGCCGACCUUGAAAUACCACCCUUUAAUGUUUGAUGUUCUAACGUUGACCCGUAAUCCGGGUUGCGGACAGUGUCUGGUGGGUAGUUUGACUGGGGCGGUCUCCUCCUAAAGAGUAACGGAGGAGCACGAAGGUUGGCUAAUCCUGGUCGGACAUCAGGAGGUUAGUGCAAUGGCAUAAGCCAGCUUGACUGCGAGCGUGACGGCGCGAGCAGGUGCGAAAGCAGGUCAUAGUGAUCCGGUGGUUCUGAAUGGAAGGGCCAUCGCUCAACGGAUAAAAGGUACUCCGGGGAUAACAGGCUGAUACCGCCCAAGAGUUCAUAUCGACGGCGGUGUUUGGCACCUCGAUGUCGGCUCAUCACAUCCUGGGGCUGAAGUAGGUCCCAAGGGUAUGGCUGUUCGCCAUUUAAAGUGGUACGCGAGCUGGGUUUAGAACGUCGUGAGACAGUUCGGUCCCUAUCUGCCGUGGGCGCUGGAGAACUGAGGGGGGCUGCUCCUAGUACGAGAGGACCGGAGUGGACGCAUCACUGGUGUUCGGGUUGUCAUGCCAAUGGCACUGCCCGGUAGCUAAAUGCGGAAGAGAUAAGUGCUGAAAGCAUCUAAGCACGAAACUUGCCCCGAGAUGAGUUCUCCCUGACCCUUUAAGGGUCCUGAAGGAACGUUGAAGACGACGACGUUGAUAGGCCGGGUGUGUAAGCGCAGCGAUGCGUUGAGCUAACCGGUACUAAUGAACCGUGAGGCUUAACCUU